rnacentral:rRNA from 1 species
GACGAACGCUGGCGGCGUGCUUAACACAUGCAAGUCGAACGGGUCUGCCCUGUUUUUUGCGGGGUGGGUCAGUGGUGAACGGGUGAGUAACACGUGAGUAACCUGCCCCUCACUUCUGGAUAACCGUUUGAAAGGGUGGCUAAUACGGGGUGUUCUGGCUGUGCCGCAUGGUGUGGCUGGGAAAGAUUCACUUUUGUGGUGUUUUGGUGGGGGAUGGGCUCGCGGCCUAUCAGCUUGUUGGUGGGGUGAUGGCCUGCCAAGGCUUUGACGGGUAGCCGGCCUGAGAGGGUGGGCGGUCACACUGGGACUGAGAUACGGCCCAGACUCCUGCGGGAGGCAGCAGUGGGGGGUAUUGCACAAUGGGCGGAAGCCUGAUGCAGCGACGUCGCGUGAGGGAUGGAGGCCUUCGGGUUGUGAACCUCUUUCGCCGGUGAAGAAGGUCCUGCUCUUUGUGGUGGGGUUGACGGUAGCCGGGUUAUGAAGCGCCGGCUAACUACGUG